GCCUCUCUCCUUGCCAUCUCUCUCCAUUUCCCUGACUCUGCCCCAUUUGUUCAUGUUCAAGGCCCCUCUGUCUCUACACCCCAAUGUGUGGCACCGUCCGAGCUGAGGUGUGUCCUUGCUUAUGUUAGUAGAUGGGAAAACCAUCAGAUACCGGCCUCUGCUUCUCUCCUGGGACUCUGGCCUCGUCUACAUCCAGGCCUGCACCUGGAUAACUCUUUUUUCCCAGUACUGGAGAUCAAACCCAAGACCUC